rnacentral:rRNA from 1 species
UACGGAGGGUGCAAGCGUUAUCCGGAUUCACUGGGUUUAAAGGGUGCGUAGGCGGUCUUAUAAGUCAGUGGUGAAAUACGGCAGCUCAACUGUCGAGGUGCCAUUGAUACUGUAGGACUUGAGUACAGACGAGGUAGGCGGAAUUGACGGUGUAGCGGUGAAAUGCUUAGAUAUCGUCAAGAACACCGAUAGCGAAGGCAGCUUACUAGGCUGUAAACUGACGCUGAGGCACGAAAGUGUGGGGGAUCAAAACAGG